UGCCAGCCGCCGCGGUAAUACAGAGGUCUCAAGCGUUGUUCGGAAUUACUGGGCGUAAAGCGUGUGUAGGCGGCGAGGUAAGUCAGAUGUGAAAGCCCGGGGCUCAACCUCGGAACUGCAUCCGAUACUGCCUCGCUAGAGUAGUGGAGGGGAGACUGGAAUUCACGGUGUAGCAGUGAAAUGCGUAGAUAUCGUGAGGAACACUAGUGGCGAAGGCGAGUCUCUGGACACUUACUGACGCUGAGACACGAAGGCCAGGGUAGCGAAAGGGAUUAGAUA
rnacentral:rRNA from 1 species